AUUGAACGCUGGCGGCAGGCUUAACACAUGCAAGUCGAGCGAGCGGCGGACGUGAGUGUAAGGUCGGGGAAACAGCCUGAUGGAGGGGGAUAAUUACUGGAAACGGAAGCUAAUACCGCACACCAUCAGCUGUGCCCAGAUGGGAUUCGCUAGUAGGUGGGGUAACGGCUCACCUAGGCGACGAUCCCUAGAUGGUCUGAGAGGAUGACCGGCCACACUGGAACUGAGACACGGUCCAGACUCCUACGGGAGGCAGCAGUGGGGAAUAUUGCACAAUGGGCGCAAGCCUGAUGCAGCAAGGCCGCGUGUGUGAAGAAGGCCUUCGGGUUGUAAAGCACUUUCAGCGAGGAGGCGUUACCCGCAGAAGAAGCACCGGCUAACUCCGUGCCAGCCGCCGCGGUAAUUC
rnacentral:rRNA from 1 species